rnacentral:rRNA from 1 species
GACGAACGCUGGCGGCGUGCUUAACACAUGCAAGUCGAACGGAAAGGCCCUGCUUUUGUGGGGUGCUCGAGUAGCGAACGGGUGAGUAACACGUGAGUAACCUGCCCUUGACUUUGGGAUAACUUCAGGAAACUGGGGCUAAUACCGGAUAGGAGCUCCUGCUGCAUGGUGGGGGUUGGAAAGUUUCGGCGGUUGGGGAUGGACUCGCGGCUUAUCAGCUUGUUGGUGGGGUAGUGGCUUACCAAGGCUUUGACGGGUAGCCGGCCUGAGAGGGUGACCGGCCACAUUGGGACUGAGAUACGGCCCAGACUCCUACGGGAGGCAGCAGUGGGGAAUAUUGCACAAUGGGCGGAAGCCUGAUGCAGCAACGCCGCGUGCGGGAUGAAGGCCUUCGGGUUGUAAACCGCUUUCGCCUGUGACGAAGCGUGAGUGACGGUAAUGGGUAAAGAAGCACCGGCUAACUACGU